rnacentral:miRNA from 1 species
CCAGAACCUGGUGCUGCAAGCUGCC